rnacentral:rRNA from 1 species
GACGGAGGAUGCAAGUGUUAUCCGGAAUCACUGGGCGUAAAGCGUCUGUAGGUGGUUUAACAAGUCCACUGUUAAAAAUUGAAGCUUAACUUCAAAGAUGCCGUGGAAACUUUUAAACUUGAGUAUGAUAGGGGUAGAGGGAAUUUCCAGUGGAGCGGUGAAAUGCGUAGAUAUUGGAAAGACCACCAAUGGCGAAGGCACUCUACUGGGCCAUUACUGACACUGAGAGACGAAAGCUAGGGGAGCGAAUGGG